UGAAUUUAACAUCCAUGACAUCUACCUCAAAAUUACUUGGCUGAUAUAUUUUGCACAGAACAAGCUGAACAGAGACUGAACAAAGGUAGUCUUGUAAAGCAAAAUAGGGGAACAGGCUUUUUAACUCAUUGCAAUUCAAAAUGAAACAUGCCAAAAAGGUUUUCCAACAGGAUGAACAGAGGGGUAGGGGAAUAACGGUGAUGUACCUGUGCAUCCAUGACAGCUACAGUAUCUUUUAUUACUUAUUUGGAAGACAAAAGAUUGUUCUACAACCACUUCUCUCUUCUUUCUGCUCUAGGAAGUCUCUGUUUCUUGAGCCAUGGGAGAAUUUGCAUGUAUCUGGAGCUUAUUUUACUUACAGAUUAGGUAAUAGAGAGCAGGCUACACUAGCAAGCCUUUAUAUGAUAGGCAGCCUCUGGAUCUCUGAGAAUAUUUUUAAUGACAUACUGCCUGCAUGAUGUAUCUUCAUCUUUUCCCUUAAUGCUGCACUUUCACAUGUGAAGCAAUGGCAGGUUUGCAUAAAUAAAACAAGUAUGUAUGUAAUAGGUUUGCCUUAUUUAGAAUAUUUGAAAGCUAGCUGGCAUAUAAUUUUAUUUUAUUUGACUAAACCUAUGCAUUUUCUGCAAUGCAAUUCCAAUUUGCAGCAAAUAUAUCAAAUGACAGGCAGACUUUUUGAAAUAGUU